rnacentral:rRNA from 1 species
GUAGGUGGCAAGCGUUGUCCGGAAUUUAUUGGGGCGUAAAGCGCGCGCAGGCGGUUCUUUUAAGGUCUGAUGUGAAACGCCCACGGGCUCGAACCGUGGAGGGUCAUUGGAAACUGGAGAACUUGAGUACAGAAGAGGAAAGCGGAAUUCCACGUGUAGCGGUGAAAUGCGUAGAGAUGUGGAGGAACACCAGUGGCGAAGGCGGCUUUCUGGUCUGUAACUGACGCUGAGGCGCGAAAGCGUGGGGAGCAAACAGGAUUAGAUACCCUGGUAGUCCACGCGUAAACGAUGAGUGCUUAAGUGUUAGGGGGUUUCCGCCCCUUAGUGCUGCAGCUAACGCAUUAAGCACUCCGCCUGGGGAGUACGGCCGCAAGGCUG